AAUAUAUAUGUACACUAUCUGGAAUAUAGUCAGUAGGUUGAUCACUCAGAUUUUGCACCAUUUUAAUGGGAGUUGACCUUUACUAUUUCCUUGUUUUUUAUUUUGAAUCUUUUAAUUCGUAGUUUGUGAGAUAUCAGGAGAGGGACUGGCUUGCGUGGUGGAUGGUUCUCAUGGUUCUUCACUCCUGGUCCUCUCACAAUGAUCCCUUUCCCCAGGUCAGAUACCAGAUACCUUCUGGCUAUAAUGGCACACACUUUGAUCAUCUUUGCAAGUCACGGAAGAAAGGUUUACAUUUAUGACAGCAGAGGAAGAUGCUUUGAGAUAAUGCUUCUGUCCAAAACCACACAAAACUGUAGCAGAAUAACCAAAAAGUAAAUUAAUUAUGGAACAACAAAACACUUUUUGGAUUCAAAUUGUAUAUAAGAAAGACAAAUUAAAUUAUGCAGUUUGGAAUGUCUUUUACAUAAACAUUGUGGAUCCUGUCUAUAUGCACCUAUAUCAGUGUGGGCAUACUUCUUUGAUUUCAAGAGAAAUAAAACUGAUGGAGCAUGAG